AACGAACGCUGGCGGCAUGCCUAACACAUGCAAGUCGAACGAGACCUUCGGGUCUAGUGGCGCACGGGUGCGUAACGCGUGGGAACCUGCCUUUAGGUUCGGAAUAACUCAGAGAAAUUUGAGCUAAUACCGGAUGAUGUCUUCGGGCCAAAGAUUUAUCGCCUUUAGAUGGGCCCGCGUUGGAUUAGCUAGUUGGGGGGGUAAAGGCCUACCAAGGCGACGAUCCAUAGCUGGUCUGAGAGGAUGAUCAGCCACACUGGGACUGAGACACGGCCCAGACUCCUACGGGAGGCAGCAGUGGGGAAUAUUGGACAAUGGGCGAAAGCCUGAUCCAGCAAUGCCGCGUGAGUGAUGAAGGCCUUAGGGUUGUAAAGCUCUUUUACCCGAGAUGAUAAUGACAGUAUCGGGAGAAUAAGCUCCGGCUAACUCCGUG
rnacentral:rRNA from 1 species